rnacentral:rRNA from 1 species
UACAGAGGGUGCGAGCGUUGUCCGGAAUCACUGGGCGUAAAGGGUGCGUAGGCGGACGUUUAAGUCGGGGGUGAAAUCCCAGGGCUCAACCCUGGAACUGCCUUCGAUACUGGACGUCUCGAGACCGGGAGAGGUGAGUGGAACUGCGAGUGUAGAGGUGAAAUUCGUAGAUAUUCGCAAGAACACCAGUGGCGAAGGCGGCUCACUGGCCCGGUUCUGACGCUGAGGCACGAAAGCGUGGGGAGCAAACAGG